AAAUGCAGGUUCCCAGGCCUGGCCUAUUCCUACUGAACCCGAAUUGUUGGGCGUGGAGCCCAGGAAUCUGCAUUUUUAUCAGCUCUC
rnacentral:miRNA from 1 species